rnacentral:rRNA from 1 species
CCUACGGGAGGCAGCAGUGAGGAAUUUUCCGCAAUGGGCUAACGCCUGACGGAGCAAUGCCGCGUGGAGGAGGAAGGCCUGUGGGUCGUAAACUCCUUUUCUCAGAGAAGAAGAUCUGACGGUAUCUGAGGAAUAAGCAUCGGCUAACUCUGUGCCAGCAGCCGCGGUAAUACAGGGGAUGCAAGCGUUAUCCGGAAUUAUUGGGCGUAAAGCGUCCUGAGGUGGCUUACCCAGUCGACUGUGAAAGCUCAAGGCUCAACCUUGAAACGGCAGUCGAAACUUGUAAGCUUGAGUACGGUAGAGGCAGAGGGAAUUCCCGGAGGAGAGGUGAAAUUCGUAGAUAUCGGGAGGAAGGCCAAAGGCGAAAGCACUCUGCUGGGCCGAUUACUGACACUGACAGACGAAAGCUAGGGGAGCGAAAGGGAUUAGAUACCCCUGUAGUCCUAGCCGUAAACGAUGGAUACUAAGUGUUGCGCGACUCAACUCGUGCAGUGCUGCAGCUAACGCGGUAAGUAUCCCGCCUGGGGAGUAUGCUCGCAAGNGAGAAACGUAAGAUGACG